rnacentral:misc_RNA from 1 species
UAUUAGUUCAACAUCUUAAUACUCAGACCGUAGUGGCGCUUCGGAUUGUAAUGUUAUAGAACGAUAGUAGUUGACUAGAGAGGUGAAGAGACGGGUUGCUUUUUUUGAUAAUUGAAUAGAUAGAGAUAAUUUUGAGAUCGGUAGGAGAACAAAAUUGAGGAAAAGCACGAGAGCAACAGCGAUGCGGUGAACGCCGGCGACGACAAGCGAUGGCUGGGCGAGUGUCCAGUAAGGAGCGCGAGACGAGCUCGCCGAGAAAUGCCGAUAACCUAUCACGCGAAAUCACGUCAACAUCCACGUCCGAGUCAAAUAACGACGUGGCUCAAGAGAAGCUAGCGAUAGAAGAACGGCUGGCUGCUAAAAUGUUUUCCUACGAAAUUAUCUGUUUUCUCUUUGCGAUUACUUUUACCGCUAUGGCUGCUCUGCACAGUUCACCCCCCAAACUUUCCAAGCCUCCCAUAGCGAAACCUUUUUUUGAUCAAAACUCGGUGAUACUGGACUUCUAUAAAGGUCAUCUAGAUGCAAUGAUUGAGAGACUAACGCAAGCAGAUUUUAGCUUUAUUAUGUAUUACGCUCCCUGGGAUGCAGAAAGUCAGGCUCUUCGGCACGAAUUUGAAAGCGUUGCUCGGUUUUAUCAUCCACAGAUAUUUUUUGCAGCCAUUAAUUGUUGGCAUCCUGAUUCAGAGUGCAGAGCCCAGUAUAAUAAAAUCCAUGGUUAUCCAGUGUUAAUGUUGUAUCCAUCCAGAGAUUCUGGUAUUAAUUAUAGAGGAAUUCGUACGGCACCAUAUAUGAUUCGUUUUCUGGAUGCAUUUAUGAAUCCUAUUAUUAGAAUAAUACAUAAAGAACAAUUAAUGGAAUUGUUGGUUGCCUAUGAUGCAGUGGUUGUUGGAUAUUUUAAUUUUACACGAUUGGAUAAAACUCCUGGAUAUAGAGAAUUUUAUAAGGCCGCAAUACGAUCGUUAGAAAGAGAUCCUAAUAGAGAAUUAGUAUUUGCCAUAGUGACUAGUGCAUUAUGCAGCAAAUUGCAUUACGGAGUUCACAAGUUUCCAUCAGCAAGCUUGCUUAUGUGGAAUGAAUCUUUAAGUUAUCCGGAAAGCAAUGAAUGGACUUCCGAGAACAUCCUAAAUUGGAUCAGCAAUUCUAUUCAUCAACCAUCUCUCUGGCUGCAACCUCCCGGAAUUAAAGCGCUCACUCUCGCGCCCUAUCUCCGCGAAGGACCAGUUUUAUUUCUCUUUACACCACGAAAUCCACUUCAUAUGGAAAAUUAUAUUUACAAUUUGAUAAGAGAGAUCGGCUUACAGUAUUAUAACUGUGCAGAUAGUAUGUUAGUGAAGGAUAUAAUCGCACGUCUAGAAGCAAAACGACGUACGGCAGUGAUUCGACACUUUUCUAGAAAUCAAGAAUGCGCUGAUCUAAAGAAAAACAGAAUUUAUACCAAGCAAAUAAAGGAAUCAGUUACUAGCAUAUCAAUUCAGAAAUGGAUCAAUAAUAGUUGUUGUGCGAACGUGGCAAUGAAUAAAUGUCUCUUGUGCAAAACAAAAGUGAUGAACCCAUUAGAGAAAGAAAGCUGUACAGUUAUUUCUAAAAAAUUUGUCUGCAAAGAGACCGAUAUAUUUAUGACUCCUGCUACGAUUAGACAACAUGAAAAACAGAUAUAUAAUUAUAAUAAAAAUUAUGUGUCAAUAAAAUUACAAGAGUCAACAUUAAAAAGGCUGCAUGCAGGUAUAGAAUAUAAAUCAUCAUUGUUGAAGGAAGAUAAUGAUUCGCGAUCUGCAAACAUGGUGAGAAGAGAUUUUUUAAAAGGUGAUUGCAGAAGAUGGUUGGCUGGGAAUGAUUAUCAUCCAUCAUUAUUCCCACGAGAUUCUCCGAGGCAAUUUAACUUCAGUUUAAAAGAAUCAGUCUGCAAAACCAACAAGACAUUAGCAUUAAUAGCUAUCGACAGUUUGCAUUAUUUCCAUUUUGCAGAUCAUCUUGGGAUUGAUAUUUCAAAACGGAAAAAUAAAACCACUGUUGUCAUCAUGGAUGCUGCAUUGGAGAGUCAAUACAUCAUGCAUCAUGAGUUUAGUGAGUACGCUCUCGUCGAUUUUAUAAACAAUUAUACACAAGGUUUGUUACAGCGAACAUUGCGUUCGGACAAUUCAAAGCGUUAUAGAACACAGAAAUUGCUUGAUGAAGUCAAUAGUAAUAAUGCAGAUUUGCGUUCAAAGAUUUGUGUACCAGAACUAACAACAAAAACAUUUUUGGAUGCUAUAUUGGAUCCAUCUAAGGACGUUGUUAUAAUGUAUCACUCUCCUUACUGUGGAUUUUGUAGUGCUAUAUCGUAUGUAUAUUUAACAGUAGCAUAUUACUUAUCCAAUAUGAAUCAUCUAACUUUUGUAAGAGUUGAUGGAGACAACAAUGAUUUACCUUGGGAAUAUAGUAUGAAUCGUUUUCCAUCUAUUUUAUUCUUUCCUGCAAAAAGGAAGGACGAUAGUACUGUAUUUCCAUUUUCUGUUCCUAUUACCAUUCCAAACUUGCUGAACUUUGUGCUGGCGAACUUGGACAGUGAUUCCCACAUCGAAGCUCUGACCAAUAUCUGUCAGAUGGGAACUGGUGAAGCGCCGAAUAAGUGUAUCGCUAGAACUCGAAGACUGUGCUUAGAUAUUAUCGAGCAACUUCUACAGAAUUACAGAAAGUUAAGAAGACAUCUAAGCUUCCUAGAUAAGAAAAUUGCUCGCAAUAAACGUAAAAUCAUUUUAUUUAAAUUAGAACAUAUCAAGGAUAUUCAUCUUAUUUUGGGCUCUACUAUAGAUCUUAGUAAGGAUCGAAAGAAGGCGCAAUUGAUUAAGAGAAAAUUUUUUAAAUACUACAGCACUAUUAGGUCGUUAAAAAUAGACGAGAAAAUAGAAAAACAAAGUUAUAAAUCUCAGGAUGUUAUACAUGCACCAACUGUUAAACGAGAGAGAAUAAGAAGCGAAUUGUGAUAUAGACUCCGCCUUGACGCAAGAUAUGUCCAUGUGAAAGCAGAUAUUGAUAUCUUGAGAUCUCCACGAAAGAAAAAAAUUGUGGAAGUCCGCUGGACGUAACAAAAUAAAGUCGACAAAUUUAAAACGAA